UACGUAGGUGGCAAGCGUUGUCCGGAUUUACUGGGCGUAAAGAGCGCGCAGGCGGUCGUUCAAGUCGCGUGUGAAAGCCCCCCGGCUCAACUGGGGAGGGUCACGCGAUACUGAUCGACUCGAAGGCAGGAGAGGGAAGUGGAAUUCCCGGUGUAGUGGUGAAAUGCGUAGAUAUCGGGAGGAACACCAGUGGCGAAGGCGGCUUCCUGGCCUGUUCUUGACGCUGAGGCGCGAAAGCUAGGGGAGCAAACGGGG
rnacentral:rRNA from 1 species